UACGUAGGGUGCGAGCGUUGUCCGGAAUUAUUGGGCGUAAAGAGCUCGUAGGCGGUUUGUCGCGUCGGCCGUGAAAACUUGGGGCUUAACCCCAAGCCUGCGAUCGAUACGGGCAGACUUGAGUUCGGCAGGGGAGACUGGAAUUCCUGGUGUAGCGGUGAAAUGCGCAGAUAUCAGGAGGAACACCGGUGGCGAAGGCGGGUCUCUGGGCCGAUACUGACGCUGAGGAGCGAAAGCGUGGGGAGCGAACAGG
rnacentral:rRNA from 1 species